rnacentral:rRNA from 1 species
CCUACGGGUGGCUGCAGUAGGGAAUAUUGCUCAAUGGGGGAAACCCUGAACCAGCAACGCCGCGUGGAGGAUGAAGGUUUUCGGAUUGUUAACUCCUUUUGUUAGAGAAGAUAAUGACGGUAUCUGACGAAUAAUCACCGGCUAACUCCGUUCCAGCAGCCGCUGUAAUACGGCGGGUGCAAGCGUUACUCGGAGUCACUGGGCGUAAAGAGCGCGUAGGCGGGUUAGGAAGUCAGAUGUGAAAUCUUAUGGCUUAACCAUAGAACUGCAUUUGAAACUGUUAGUCUAGAGUAUGGGAGAGGUAGGUGGAAGUCGUGGUGUAGGGGUAAAAUCCGUAGAGAUCAAGAAGAAUACUCAUUGCGAAGGCGGACUGCUAGAACAUGACUGACACUGAUGCGCGAAAGCGUGGGGAGCAAACAGGAUUAGAUACCCUAGUAGUC